UGCCGACCUGCAAAGAAGAGAGGUUCACGUGGGUGGUCAUGUCAGAGCUGCUUUGAUGCCUGCAUAAUGCCAGCUCAGGCAAAGCACUGUGCCCACAAAAGUUACUGGGGGCUGCACAAGCCAGUGGGAAUGUAAAACAAAACUCUGUAAGGCUAGGUGUUAAAAUGCAAACCAUGCUCCUUUUCCCAACACGGGGGCAGGUCCCUUGCCUGAGCUCAGUCCAACAAGGCUAACACUUCCCAAAGGCUUUGGGAAGCCACUCUGACAAGAGAGGACUACGCUUUCUCAGGGAUGCACAGGCGUAAUGCUGGAAGGAAAGAAAGGGGAAAACACGAGACAUGGACUCACCUCUAACGAGCAGUGCCGCUGAAGUGACCUUCGCUGCGAUGCGCACAGGAGGCAUUGGACCGUGUCAUCCUAAACUGCAGGAUCCUUCUUAACUCGUUCCUGUGGCUCCAGAUGAACUCAUAGAAGGGCUUACCACUGCCAGUUUGCUUGCGGAAAGGACACUCCAUAACCACAGGCUCCCCUUCAGUCACAAGAACCACUUGACUCUCAAGACAUCCAAGAGUCCCUGAACCUGAAAGCGAGAAUUGGAGGAGAGCCCUGAUUCCUGCUCCCAGGCAAGGAGCAGGCACACUGACUCCAUCCUGCAGCACUGCGCUCGAUUCAGGUAUUGAGCACAGAGCAAACGCCCCAGGUGAGGGCCCGACAGCUGCCCCACCAAUUUCAUCUCUUCGGGGGGUUCACAGAGCACACAGAUGCCCCAACCAAAUUCUCCCUCCCUAAACCUCUCCCUAGCUCCAGACAGAGCUGCAGGGAGCCUGGGGCUCAUCUGCAUGCCCAGCGGCCCCUAAAGCCACGGGAGUCCCCAGUUACUGCAGCCUGCGCAUCCCUGCUCAGAGACACAGCACAGAACUCUGCCAGGAACAGCUUCCUACCCAGUACCAUGAAGGGUGCCUAGACAACAACAACCCUGCAGAAGUGCCCAGCCACAGGAGGCUCAGGAAUCUACGGGGGCCAUUCCCCGUUGCUGGGAAAUCUGCUAUUGAAACCACGACAGUGUCGGCUGGAAACGCUGCCCCUCCUCUCGGCGCACAACACCCAGGCACUUUGUCACCCCCACUGCGCGCAGGACAUCGCAGCCCCUCGCCUCCAGCCCCCGCCAGGAAGCACAAUGUUCGUCACGGUGAGAUACGGAGCCAACUGCCAGGAGCUGGUGAACCUGCAGUGCCGCGUCCUGAUCCUCACCGCCCACCUGAAGAGGAAGUGUCAGUGCGGGACAGAAGACUGCAUCGAUCUUGUGGAUGAAGCAGGGGCCUUGAUGAACCUAAGCAAAGUGGAAAAUCCUGCAUCUGAGUUUGCCAGUAAAUACCUACGGGAAAGGCAACGCUACAUCCUCGUCAGAGCCAUCAGAGAACAAAGCACUGAAGCUACCUGCUACGAAUCCUUACUGGAGAACCUGGGGAAACACCACCCUGACCUCGCAGAUCGGCUGCAGAAGCUCUCAGCAAACGCCCCAAUGAGAGACCAGUGGAGGAAAGGCUCCUUGCAGAGGAGGGCUCAGCCCAAGAAGAGCUCAGAGCCAAAGAGCACCCCUAGAUGAGGAAAGGGCCUGAUGGGAACAAGCACAAGUGCAGUGACCGCCUCCAGGACUCGCCACAGUGCUGCCUGAGCCCCCGACCCCACCAGGACCCCCCACUCUCCUCUGAUGCUCUGCAACUAAAGCUGCACCAACAUGCAAACAGCACCCCAGCCAGGCACAAGCAGCUGCCUCCUGCUUCAAGGUGUCAUUCACAUCCCCACAGCAUGACCUGCACUGAGCAACAAGGAACCGCGCCUCCUGCCUCGGCUCAUUGGGUAAGUCUGCCCUGAACACCUCCACCGCACUGGCAGGGGCCUCCUGGAGACUCACCAUCCCCUGCAGUCAGCAGGAAAAGUCAUUCAAGAGACACCCACAGUGUCAACUGCAGAACCAUUGCUGGAACUUGCCAGGAUGGGUCAGAAGACAGCACACACUCGCUGCAGGUAUGCUAGAUAGCUUUCCCUAGCAGCCUCUCCAUGCAGACCAGCACACACCAAGUUAAAUAUUUCUUGAAGGCAGCAAGAUGAGACUCAGUGGUUCCACUUACAGUGGUUCCUCCUGCUCGCACUGGAGCAGCUCAGCACACAACAGCACUCAGCCUUUGAGUCUCUGGCACCUUUCUAACUUGGCCGCCUCUCAGGAGAGCGCAAGGCACCCCGGUUAAGGACAGGCACAGCUCAGAACACUGACUUCCAUCAAGCAUUUAAGUUCUGAUAUUUGAAAGGGACAGGACCUUCAGCAGCAGUCCCUAUGAUCUGCUGCCAAGUAGGGUCUCCUGAGAAGAGCCUGCAGGCAGCCGUAAUGAGGCUGUUCUGCCAUAAUGGCAGAAAUAGAAAGCAGCCCUGAGCUUCACCUUUAGCUGUUGACCUUGAGAACAUUGCAUAAGUCACUAAGGAAGAUCAGCUGGCUGUAUCUGAGUCAUGCAGCCAGACAGGUCACGCUUUCCUAGCUCCUGGGUCAGAACACGGCUCUUCAGGAAGAGGUUAUCAAUGCAAGAAGAAUGUUACUGAAAAUACUGUCGGAUAUCUCAGAUUACCUCUCUCCAGUCUGGAGACAGAUUACUCUCUGUCUGGAGUGUUGCCAAUCUGAUCUCAGCUCAGUUGUGCAUCUACUUUUGCCAUGCAGGCACAGUU